rfam:Myotis brandtii contig159786, whole genome shotgun sequence.
CGUGCAUCAGUGGGGUCCCUUGGCCUGGCCUGUGCCCCUUGGGGGAGUCAGAGAGCCAGUUUCAGCCCGAUCCCACAGGCCAGGCCAAGGGACCCCACUGGUACACA